UGGACAAUUGUUCUUUUAAGUCAUUAUAUUAAUAAUGUUUGGGGACAAUCGUGUGUUGCUGCUGUUUAAUAUACUAAUAGCCAUCUUCAUGUGGGUUUCUGUCUUUGUCUUCUAGGUACUAGAUGAAGAAGCAGAAGUUUUUAUAGUCAAAAUGUGGCGAUUAUUGAUAUAUGAAACAGAAGCCAAGAAAAUUGGUCUUGUGAAGUAAACUUUUUACACUCAGAGUUACAUUUCAGAUUUCUUCUUUCACACCCUUCAAAGGACUUGGAAUUUUCUGUGUCUUCAAAGACAUUUGUGAGAUCUGUAAUUUUUUUAAUGUAGAAAAUGUGAAUUCUUUUGUCCUCUAAUUUGUUGAUGCUGUGUACUCACUUGGUUGUAAAGCCAUCUGUGUCCUUGGUUCUCUUUAUACACCAGGCACAGAUUACUGGUGUGUUUUGUAAGCUGCAGCUACUGUACACAGCCUAUUUGAUAGAAUCUUGUUCUGCUGAUUCGUUCCCUGUAAAUAUUAAAAUGGCUCCCCAAUUCUUUUGCAGAAUUCUACUUAAUAUUAAAACUGUAUUGUAUAGGCGCCAACAUGAAUAAGUUGAAUACUAGUCACACCCAUUACAGUCUCAUCCCCACGUCCCUCAUCAGAAAUGACAAGCAAGCUCUUGUAAAGGCAUGGAGUUUAAAAUUAGAUUGCAAAACCUAGCAGACAGUUCAUUCCUAAUGUAUCUCUGUAUUAAUGUGUUUAUGUGAAUGUAUGUAUAAAAGUCUUUUUUAAAAUUUUUUUGGUGGGCUCCCUUAAACAUUUCGUAAUUCAUCAAUAUACUCAUAAAAGAAAAGUAAUUAUUGUGCCAACCCAAAUAACUAGGAUAAUUAUGGUGUGUUUCCCAGAGGCUGGUAUUCUGCAGUGAGCAACCAGCUUUGUGUUCUUCUGUGAAUAGGAUGAUACAUCAUAAUCUUAACCCUCCCUUAAUUUGAUGGCUCACAAUUGAAGCAAAGGCUAAAAGUCUGGAGCAUUUUACUCAAUACAUUUUCAACUAACUCUAAA
rnacentral:lncRNA from 1 species